rnacentral:rRNA from 1 species
AUUGAACGCUGGCGGCAGGCCUAACACAUGCAAGUCGAGCGGAUGAAGGGAGCUUGCUCCUGGAUUCAGCGGCGGACGGGUGAGUAAUGCCUAGGAAUCUGCCUGGUAGUGGGGGAUAACGUCCGGAAACGGGCGCUAAUACCGCAUACGUCCUGAGGGAGAAAGUGGGGGAUCUUCGGACCUCACGCUAUCAGAUGAGCCUAGGUCGGAUUAGCUAGUUGGUGGGGUAAAGGCCUACCAAGGCGACGAUCCGUAACUGGUCCGAGGGGAUGAUCAGUCACACUGGAACUGAGACACGGUCCAGACUCCUACGGGAGGCAGCAGUGGGGAAUAUUGGACAAUGGGCGAAAGCCUGAUCCAGCCAUGCCGCGUGUGUGAAGAAGGUCUUCGGAUUGUAAAGCACUUUAAGUUGGGAGGAAGGGCAGUAAGUUAAUACCUUGCUGUUUUGACGUUACCAACAGAAUAAGCACCGGCUAACUUCGUG